CUAUGCUUUCUUCCUUCCAUACGAAAAGCUGCUUACUAUAAUGUAAACCGUCUAACUGAUGCAGAUACGAGAGGGUAGAUUUUAAACUCUUGACCAGUGCUUGUUGCGUGAUUACCAUACGACUUUACAAGCAAAAUCUAAGCAGAUUUCUGGUGACUUUUGUGAGAGACAACAGUGAAGAAAACAUGAGGACCUACACAAUGCUUGAAGAUUCAUGCAAGACAGUUGGAAGAUAGAGAAGAAAUUACUCUAGAUAUUGAAGGAGAGGC